AAUUUUUCUCUUGAUAUACCCAGCAAGUUCAACCCAGCGAGUCAGAGACAGAGCCCUGGAUUUUUCCCCAAAUCGGCACCACGCACGCUGCACGCCUGCACGCACCAGUCUACCUUCACUCGUCUGCCGACUACGCCACUACCACAAAGGGCAGACGCUCGCAGAUCGCAGUAACCAACAGACGACACUGCCACCGUGAGAGUCAAGAGGAGCAGGCGAGCGUCGAGCAGCACUCCAAUCCAAGCGUCCAGCAGGCGGCCUGCACUCAGUCUCCGCACCGCAGCCAGCAAGCUUUCCUUCUCAUGUCAAACUACCGGUUUUGAGGUUAAGCAAUUAGCAAACCCUUUGUGAAUUGUGACUUGUGAGUUCUUGUUCUUCCCCAGUUCCCCAAUUCCUUCUCGGCACAGUGUCAGUAUUCGGUCCUAAAUUUAAUGUUUAACUUGAUACAAUGAUAUUAAUAUGUAAAUUUGAGGAUAUGUGUUUUGAGUUUUGAACUGGAUGUCUGGAUCGGAGAAGGGAGAACAAUUCUCAAUUUCUUAUCUUAAAGUUGAAUCACUUAUUUAUUAGUCAUUACUUCAAAAAUUAGGAAUUAGACUAUUAGAGCAUAAACACCAUCUGUUAGAGGCUAUUACGGGAUGGAGGGAUCUGCAAAUAAGGUGUAAUUUAGGAUAAUUCGCUGGUGAUUUCUGUGCUUUAUUCCGAAAGCCGAAAGGAUUCCUACUUUCAUGCGGGGAUUAAUUGCUUUCCAUUUAAAUAACAACUCCUAAAAUUAUGGGGCUUUAUUUCAAAAUACAUAGAUGUGAUUUAGGCAUUUAGCUUAG
rnacentral:lncRNA from 1 species